GCGGCUGUGCGUCCCCACUCUAGAAGCUUCGUUCGUCUUCACCAUCUGUGCAGGUACCAUCUGUGCAGGUUAUUAGGUGAAAAACAUUGUAGCCUUUUCCUCCCCAACAACACAUACUCUUAGCUAGGGUUUCAACGCAUCUGACAGCUGAAGCUAGGGCGUCGCCACCAUCAAUGUCAUGGCACUCCCGCUCUGUUCACCAAUCGCAUCGACAGGAGCCCUAUCCUCAAUCAUGUCUUUCCCGCCGAGCUACACACCUUCAUGAGCUCACCCCCUACUCCCACAAACGACGCCGGGUGACAAGGAGGAAAAGUAGUAAUGACGACAUGCAAACUGAAUAAGAUUAUGUAAUUUGAAUACGAUUCUAGAGAUGCACACGCUCUGUUCAUCAAUGCUGCUACGUUUUGAAACUUCAGCAUUUCAUUACUGCUACAAAUAUAUGUACACAGUAAUAUAAUCUCUAAGCUCCUCAUGUUGCUACAUUUGUAAACUUCAAUAUUUCAUUACUGCUACAAAUCUAUUUACAGUUCCAAUUGACUAUGGUAGCUUUCUUGCUU